rnacentral:rRNA from 1 species
GACGAACGCUGGCGGCGUGCUUAACACAUGCAAGUCGAGCGGAAAGGCCCUUCGGGGUACUCGAGCGGCGAACGGGUGAGUAACACGUGAGUAACCUGCCCCUGACUCUGGGAUAAGCCUGGGAAACUGGGUCUAAUACCGGAUAUGACACCUCCUGGCAUCGGGUGGGUGUGGAAAGUUUUUCGGUUGGGGAUGGACUCGCGGCCUAUCAGCUUGUUGGUGGGGUAAUGGCCUACCAAGGCGACGACGGGUAGCCGGCCUGAGAGGGCGACCGGCCACACUGGGACUGAGACACGGCCCAGACUCCUACGGGAGGCAG